GGUGUCGAAAGACUUAAUAGGGAAGCCGGUAGAAGCCGGAGCGGUCCCGCCACUGUAACAGGGAGCAAAUCUGCAUUAGUUAUGUCACUGGGGUGCUGAGCACUUUGGGAAGGCGCAGAGGAGCGAUGAUCUGAAGCCAGGAGAACUGCCUGUUUAACAA
rnacentral:ncRNA from 1 species